GUGGGGAAUAUUGGACAAUGGGCGCAAGCCUGAUCCAGCCAUGCCGCGUGAGUGAUGAAGGCCUUAGGGUUGUAAAGCUCUUUCACCGAUGAAGAUAAUGACGGUAGUCGGAGAAGAAGCCCCGGCUAACUUCGUGCCAGCAGCCGCGGUAAUACGAAGGGGGCUAGCGUUGUUCGGAAUUACUGGGCGUAAAGCGCACGUAGGCGGACAUUUAAGUCAGGGGUGAAAUCCCGGGGCUCAACCCCGGAACUGCCUUUGAUACUGGGUGUCUGGAGUAUGGAAGAGGUAAGUGGAAUUCCGAGUGUAGAGGUGAAAUUCGUAGAUAUUCGGAGGAACACCAGUGGCGAAGGCGGCUUACUGGUCCAUUACUGACGCUGAGGUGCGAAAGCGUGGGGAGCAAACAGGAUUAGAAACCCCAGUAGUCC
rnacentral:rRNA from 1 species